rnacentral:rRNA from 1 species
GUCCGUACGAGCGCAACCCUUGCCCUUACGUUGCCAGCGAGUCAAGUCGGGAACUCUAAGGGACUGCCGGUGACAAACCGGAGGAAGGCGGGGAGUGACGUCAAGUCAUCAUGGCCCUUAUGGGCUGGGCUACACACGUGCUACAAUGGCCGGUACAGAGGGUUGCCAAGCCGCGAGGUGGAGCUAAUCCCACAAAGCCGGUCGUAGUCCGGAUUGCAGUCUGCAACUCGACUGCAUGAAGUCGGAAUCGCUAGUAAUCGCGGAUCAGCAUGCCGCGGUGAAUACGUUCCCGGGCCUU